rnacentral:rRNA from 1 species
UACGUAGGGUGCGAGCGUUAAUCGGAAUUACUGGGCGUAAAGCGUGCGCAGGCGGUUUUGUAAGCCCGGUGCGAAAUCCCCGGGCUUAACCUGGGAAUGGCAUUUGGGACUGCAAGGCUGGAGUGUGGCAGAGGAGACUGGAAUUCCUGGUGUAGCAGUGAAAUGCGUAGAUAUCAGGAGGAAUACCGAUGGCGAAGGCAGGUCUCUGGGCUGACAUUGACGCUCAUGCACGAAAGCGUGGGGAGCAAACAGG